rnacentral:rRNA from 1 species
GACGUAGGGCGCGAGCGUUGUCCGGAUUUAUUGGGCGUAAAGAGCUCGUAGGCGGUGUGUCGCGUCGGCCGUGAAAACCUGCAGCUUAACUGUGGGCUUGCGGUCGAUACGGGCAUCACUGGAGUUCGGCAGGGGAGACUGGAAUUCCUGGUGUAGCGGUGAAAUGCGCAGAUAUCAGGAGGAACACCGGUGGCGAAGGCGGGUCUCUGGGCAACUACUGACGCUGAGGAGCGAAAGCGUGGGGAGCGAACAGG